UAUUUAUUUAUUAUGUAUACAAUAUUCUGUCUGUGUGUAUGUCUGCAGUCUAGAAGAGGGCACCAGACCUCAUUCCAGAUGGUUGUGAGCCACCAUGUGGUUGCCGGGAAUUGAACUCAGGACCUUUGGAAGAGCAGACAAUGCUCUUAACCACUGAGCCAUCUCUCCAGCCCCCGACAACCUAGUUUUUUGUUUCUAUUGUUUUGUUUCUAUUUCACGGUGGGUUUUUUUUUUUUAAGAUUUCUUUUUAUUUCUGCACUCGUGCAUGAGCAUGGGUGUGGGGAGUUGAGACACCAUCAGACUCCCUGGAACUAGGAGGUCACCUGCAUGGGUGUCAGCAACUGAGCUCUGAGCUUCCAGAAGAGCAGGAAGCUUUCUUUCCCACAGAACACUAAGACCCAGGCUGGGCUGGAACUCAGGACAGUCCUCCUGCCUCAGCUUCCCCACUGUUUUCCCUCUGUAUUUGCCACCCACGGAUUAUUUUUCGGUUUCCCUGAGUCUGUUUUUGGGAACCUUAGUGUUUGUGUUCCUUGGCUUUUGCUGAAGAAACGACCGGCAAAUGAGAUAAAUGCUCUGUACCCUCAUGAACUUCAUCCCCUGGGAAGGAGGAAGGGUCAGCAAUCGUUCCACGAUUCAGGGUUGAUUUAGGGUUGAGGAGAGGAGAGGUAGGAACCUGACUUAGACUGACGUGCCACAGACGGCUCCCCCAAACAGCCAGCUUUGGGAUGGAGGAGGGAAAGAUGAGCAGAAGUUAGCCCUGAAGAGAAAGAAAAGACUAACUUUAAGGAAGGUGGAUUUCUCACACACCUAAUUCUACUCUCUCUCUCUCUCUCUCUCUCUCUCUCUUUCUCUCUCUCUCUUACACACACACACACACACACACACACACACACACACACACACACACACCUACUGUUACUGUUUCCAUUCAUCCCCAAAUGUGGGCCCUAAGACUGACAGUUCCUAGACCCUCAGGCAUCCAUAGUGUUGUGCCUCCAUUGAGGGUGGCCCACAGGUCUCCAUGGUGGGUCUGCUUCGACACAUCUUAUCCCAGGAGGGUGUGUGGGGCCUCUACCGGGGCAUUGCCCCCAACUUCAUGAAGGUCAUUCCAGCUGUAAGCAUCUCCUACGUGGUCUACGAGAACAUGAAGCAGGCCCUGGGGGUCACAUCCAGGUGAGGGACCGGGAACCUGUCACCCCAAGAUUCCCUCAUCUUCGUCACGGCAUCUCCCAUGCUGACGUCCUCAACCGCCAGAAACUAAUGGCCUGACCAGUGGUUCCUAAUCCCCCAACCCAAGCCUCUGGAUACCAGAACCCAAGUCCCAGGUCGUUGGCCCUGUGUUCUGACAUCUGUACCACUAGGCCCCACUCUUUGGCCACUGGAUCCCAGUACUGGAUCCUCGACUUCACAGCGAGACUCCCAGACCCCAACUGCUGUACCUCAUACAUCACUUGAGAUGCAGAACUAUCCACACUCUGGCCCUGAGCCCUUAUCCCCAAGCCCCUUGACCCUGCUCAUCAACACACCAGAGCCAGAUCCUGCUUUUCCCUGCCUUACCCACUGGGAGCUGGGCCACCCUGUGCAACAACAGAUGGUCCCAGUGCCCCAAGCAUGAAGGCACACAUCAAUGUAUCCCGUAACCCAGAUCUCAGAUUCUUCAGGCACCAGACCCUCAUGCCUCACUAGACCUGAGACCCUAAAUCUGCUGGUGAGCUCCCUGUCACUCGCCUCAUAGUCUGGAUUCUAGAAGCCAGGAACUCUUAGCCACAGGGUCCUGAUCCUGGGUUACUGGAUCCCAGAUCCCUCACCCCAAACAAUUCUUUUACCUCAACUUGGAGUUUCAUGCCCUUCCGCUUUGACUGCCGGAUCUACAUUUUAGCACACCCUCAAUCUCCUGUCACUGGAUCCAAGAGUCCCAAGUCCUUAACCCCCUGGAUUCUGGUUCCGUGAACCACCAACGUGUGAGCUCCAGGGUGGAUUCUAGAUACCACAGCUGUAGCUGUUCAAUCUCAGAUCCCAGAUUCCUUCAACCCCUUCUCUGGAUACCAGCCAUAGAAGACCAAGCUCUCCCAGACACUACCAGGUUCCAAGCCCUUUGCUCCUGCACCCCAAGUUCUCAGUCUACUCCCUAAGUCUAGAUCCCAGCAGCCCAGUGGCAGCAUCUCAGAUCCCACAGGCACCCCAGUAUCCCAGACACACCCUGGAGCUGAUUCCCACUGCAUCCCACACCAUCGGGGAUCCUUCUGGAAGCCCAGACCCUGGACUAGUAAGUAGCUCCACACCAGUAAGGGAAUGGGAUGUAUGUCCCACACCAUUCCCCACAUGAAUGCUGAAUCUCCCCACAGCUAGGACACACCUCCACUCCUCCACCACUCCCCCAAAUCACCUCCCUCCCCAUCUCCCUCUCUGCAAUGUCUUCCACACCCCUGCCUAUCUGCCAGGCUAGUAACUUCCCAGAGUCCAGGUUCCUCUGGGAGGGUCUGGUCUGCUUACUCAUGGUGGGGAUUUACCAGGUGAAGCCAAGCGACACAGCCAAGGGGACCUUCUGCAUCCCAGCACUGCCAGCCCUGCUCGGGCCUCAGAAAGUCACAAUUAAAGACCAAUACACAGCAUCCUUCCUGAAACCCAGCAUCCAGUAUGCAAAAUGAAACAACCCCAGACUGACUCGGGGUCUAUUUUUCUACCAGACGGAGAACAAAGUCCCCUGACUCCCCACAACAUUCCCAUACCCUCCACACUUCAACGUUGGAUUCUGAGCUUAGGAUAAGUGGGGGGGGCCUGCUCAACUCCCCGAUCUCUGGGGACCCCAUCAAAGGACUGAAAGGAACUAGGAUGUUGAGGGGCAAGAGGACCCCACCAUGGCUUCCACCUCUCCCUCCAGCCUACACCAAGUCCGUCUCUCUGCCCGUGUAUGUCAUUUCAAGGGAAGAGAAUAAAUUUUCUAAGCUCUUUCA